GGCCCAGCGGACAGGACAAGCACGCUCUCCCAGCCCGCUGCUCUUGAUCUCAGGUUGCCUGUUUUCCGUUCCUUGGCCCUACCUCCCUUCUCCAGCCAACAUCGCUGUGGAUAUGCAGAAAGAAGCACGAUCAUCUGUGCCUGUCUCAAGGGCCAGGACUGUCCGGCAACCUUCCUAAUGCCAGCCAGGGCUCAGAGAAAGACUGUCAUGGUGACUCAGGAAUUCCAUCUCUCAUCAUGCUCCUUGGAUAACCUGAAGCCCUCCUGGAUACACACAGACAGCCUUGUGCUCUGCAGGUGAAAACCAAAGUGGUGCUUCUUACUACUCUAAUUCACAACUUACCUUGUCCCUAAGAAAGUCUCUAGGGGUAGAAGGGAAUACUCAACUGCAGGUCUGCUAUUCAAUUACAAAUGGAGAAGAGAUCAGGAACUAUGCACAAACAUGCUUUAAAGGAAAACCAC
rnacentral:lncRNA from 1 species